GCGUGAGUGAAGAAGGCCCUAGGGUUGUAAAGCUCUUUCAGGUGGGAAGAUGAUGACGGUACCACCAGAAGAAGCCCCGGCUAACUCCGUGCCAGCAGCCGCGGUAAUACGGAGGGGGCUAGCGUUGUUCGGAAUUACUGGGCGUAAAGCGCACGUAGGCGGUUUGUCUAGUCAGAUGUGAAAGCCCCGGGCUCAACCCGGGAACUGCAUUUGAUACUGGCAGGCUAGAGUCCGGGAGAGGGUAGUGGAAUUCCCAGUGUAGAGGUGAAAUUCGU
rnacentral:rRNA from 1 species